GAUGAACACAGCUGCAGCCACCUUCCCUGCAUGAACAUGAAUGUGGCAGCCACCUUCUGCAGAGCCAUGGAAGGAAUUACGCUCAGGAUCUGAGCCCAAAGAGGAGUCCUCAGACGGGCCUUCACCACUUCGCGGCAGGCCUCCUAGAGACAAGUGAAGGGAGGCCUGUCCCCACCCGGUGCCAUCCUGUCCCUGGUGAGCUGGAAGUGGAGAGGAGCGUGUGUCAUCUGGUGCCCACAGAACCCUAACCCUUAUUAGUCCCAUCUUGAGGACAAGGACGCUGAGGCUCAGAGAUGAUUUGCUCAUCACGUAUCUGGGCAGCAUCCCCAGCCGGAGCUACAGUAAUGACCGCCCGUUAGGCUCCACCUGUUAAAAGUUCCCCCAUCUCUUUACACCACCACGCUGGGGACUAAACUCCGCCCCCACGCCCGGGAGGACACAAAUCAGAGCCAAACCACAGAGCCACGUGACAUGGGCCAGCCAAUGCACAUGCGCAUGAGAAGCCGUCUACAGACCCUCCGGAAAUCCACGAAAU